rnacentral:rRNA from 1 species
AUUGAACGCUGGCGGCAGGCUUAACACAUGCAAGUCGAACGAGUGGCGGACGGGUGAGUAAUGCUUGGGAAUCUAGCUUAUGGAGGGGGAUAACUACGGGAACCUGAGGUAAAUCCCGCUUACCAUAGGUGGAGCCCAGGUGGGAUUAGGUAGUUGGUGAGGUAAAGCCUCACAAAGCCGACGAUCUCUAGCUGGUCUGAGAGGAUGACCAGCCACACUGGGACUGAGACACGGCCCAGACUCCUACGGGAGGCAGCAGUGGGGAAUAUUGCGCAAUGGGGGCAACCUGACGCAGCCAUGCCGCGUGAAUGAAGAAGGCCUUCGGGUUGUAAAGUUCUUUCGGUAGCGAGGCGUUAACUACAGAAGAAGCACCGGCUAACUCCGUGCCAGCAGCCGCGGUAAUAC